rnacentral:misc_RNA from 1 species
AACGACAGACACAUCCUCAACUCAAGCGCUCACUUCUAUUACUUGAUUCAAUCAGCAUGAGAUAACGUGUCUCUGGCUUUUCGUGGCGACAGCCCCGACUGGGUUCAAGCUAGAUCGAAUUCCGGAUUCGGGUGUGUAGCUCAGGUGGUUAGAGCGCGUCCCUGAUAAGGACGAGGUCGGUGGUUCGAGUCCACCCAUACCCACCAACUCUGCUGACAAAAAGUUCUGCAAGAUUUCGAAUCAUUCAGGAUGCUGAAUGAUUUCUGUUCUUUAAAAAUUCGUAUCGAGAAAGAAGUUGCUGUUGGCGCAUUGCCUUGUGAUGAGGCGCUGCACUGGCGGUGACUAAGUACUGUACAAGCGCAUAAUUAUUUGUGUGUAUGUUUAUUGGCGGUUUGUCUGCUGCCCGUGAGGGUCGCGGACGAACAAAUGAUCGUUACGAUGUAAUCGAGGAUCGAGUCGGUUCACUUCGGUGAACAGGUGAGAGUCUGAGGUUAUAUG